CUUUGACCAUUUGAUAUCUAUGCCUAAUAUUUCGAACACCAUACCUAUGUGGUUUUUUUUUUUUUCCUUCCUAACUUAUUUUUUGUCGGGCAAUGAAAACACCAGAUAAUAGGGCUAUUCGUUUUGCAAUCACCAAAACUAUCCAGCGUUCGUAUUACCAAAACAGCUUGCGUCAUUUUAAGUUCCUAAUUCUUUGUUGUUUGGUGUUCAAAAUACCGAACAACUAUUUGGUAUUCUCAAAACGCAAUGACCCCUCUCUUCCGAUCAUUUCUCUUCUCUCGCUCUCUUUCCUCUCUAUCGCUUUGCAACUUUCAAGCCCUCUCUCUCUCUCUCUGGAGCAGGCAUACGAAGCCACAACCUCGCAGAUUCGGCCAGCUAAUCAGAGGAUUCCAUGGAAAAUGCGAAACGGAACAAGCACACUCUGAUUUUGAUUGCAAAUGCGCGAGUUAUUGGAAGCAGUACAUCCAAACGGGACCAUAGACCACGGCUGGCAGCUAGUUAGAAGCAUGUCCAUGGAUCGGGUAGGUCUUUGAGCAUUUCAAUCAAAGGUUUUGUAAUCACUAUUUGACCAACCAUAGAACUUUACAACGUAAUUUCUUUAUCAAUGAUAAUGUGGUCAAUCUAUUAAAAAAGGUUCAUAUGUACUUCAUAUUUGCAUGGAAGAAAUAAUGAUUGAACAGAGACUGUCAAAUAUUUGAAUGAUCA